GGUAGCGUGGCCGAGUGGUCUAAGGUGCUGGAUUUAGGCUCCAGUCUCCUUGGAGGUGUUGGUUCAGAUCCCACCGCUACCA